AGUGAACGCUAGCGGUGCGCCUAACACAUGCAAGUCGAACGGUAGAGGGGCAACCCUUGAGAGUGGCGAACGGGUGAGUAAUGUAUCGGAACAUGCCCAGUCGUGGGGGAUAACGUAGCGAAAGUUACGCUAAUACCGCAUACGAUCUAUGGAUGAAAGCGGGGGAUCGCAAGACCUCGCGCGAUUGGAGUGGCCGAUAUCAGAUUAGGUAGUCGGUGGGGUAAAGGCCUACCAAGCCGACGAUCUGUAGCUGGUCUGAGAGGACGACCAGCCACACUGGGACUGAGACACGGCCCAGACUCCUACGGGAGGCAGCAGUGGGGAAUUUUGGACAAUGGGCGCAAGCCUGAUCCAGCCAUUCCGCGUGCAGGAAGAAGGCCUUCGGGUUGUAAACUGCUUUUGUACGGAACGAAACGCGCUGAGCUAAUACCUCGGCGUAAUGACGGUACCGUAAGAAUAAGCACCGGCUAACUACGUGCCAGCCGCCGCAGUAA
rnacentral:rRNA from 1 species